AAAGCUAAAGUUGUAAGUUCCUUCAGCAUUUUAAUAAAAGGUGUUAUAAAAUCCUUAAUACUUUUGCCCUCUGCUUAAUAAAGGAAAAGGACAGGGUCUGUGCGUGUCUUGAGUGACAAGGAAUUUGGAUGUCGGAGUACACAUCAGAAAAUAUAUGAACAAAAGGGGAUUCUUCAGAUGUUUUUAAGGAGCGAUGCACUAUUGUCUUGAUUUUACCUAUGCAAGAGAGAAGCAGAGAGAGCGCUGUAGUAUUUGGCCAAUGACCAAAAAUCAAAACAAAACAAAAAUUAAAAAAUAAACAACCAGACAAAAAACAAGAACGUUAACCAACUAUCAGUUUUUAAGAAAGACAGGUUACAAUGUAGUUUCUGUUCCCUUGCUCCUCCAGAAAUAAUCAUUGUCUUCAGGCUCAAGUUCUAUUCUAAUUUGAGGCACAACUUUUACUGGAGUUCUAGGAGGACUAGAGAAAAGAAAAAAAGAAAUGAUUAAAAAAAAAAAACAGAAAGAAGAGGACUGCAAGUGGGCAACACUGUCAUAAACUGAAGGACAAAAAGACAUGAAGAAAAUAUUCAGAUAUUCUACUGUUUUGAAAAUCAAGGAAAUCCUAUCAUGGGCAGCCUCAUGGAGAUGCCUCUAAGUUAAGGACUGAAUCCUCCUGCUAAUGGCCUCCUAUCCAAGCUCAGAAGAAGAUCCCUGGAUCCAGCCAAAUCUUUAGACUCAACCCCAGCUGAGAGCUUAGUGACAAUCUUGGAAGAAAUCCUUAGCCAGAACCACCCAAAUCUGCUGCUCCUAAAUUCCUUGAAUAUGUGCGAAAAGGCAUGCCUGUUGGUUUAAGUUGCUAAGUUUUGUGAUAAUUUGUUAUACAGCAAUAGGUAACUAAUAAACCCA